rnacentral:rRNA from 1 species
AUGAUAUUCUGCCAUGCCACGCAGGACGACGUGGCGGCCAUCAAGGGUAUCUUAACCCUGUUUGGCAGAGCCAGUGGGCUUCGGGUGAAUUAUGCUAAGAGCUCAGCUACCAUCCUCCAUGGUGAACCCGCGACUGCCGAGAUGAUCACCCAACUGGGAUGCCCGGUGGUUGAGCUCCCCAUCACCUACCUUGGCAUCCCUUUAACGCUUCGUCGACCCUCUGUUGCACAGCUACAACCCCUUGUCGACUCGGUGGCCGCCCGGCUACCGACAUGCAAAGCUUGGCUCAUGAACAAAGCCGGGAGGCUCGCACUGGUCAAGUUGGUGUAG